UUUUUGUAUGAGCUUCGUUUGUUUUAGGCCAGGGCUUCUGUCUAUUGUGUUAUGUCGACAAACGUAAAAAAAAAAAAAAAACUACAGAGCACGGAGAUCGAGAUGAAUCCUAAAGCAGACGGAGGUCUCGAGGAUCUACGCCUCUGCCUCUUCCUCUUCUCCGAUUCAAAGCGUAAAGAGAUAUGGACCAUUGUCGCUGGAUGACAACACGAGCUUUGUCGAGGUCAUAGAACCAGUGACCAUCCCAGCAGAGAAGUUUCGUUUUAAAAAAUAACCAGCAGAUGCUCCUGACAUCAUGGGUGAAGUUAGUAGUAUCAAUACUGUUUUCGAUGAUAAAAACCAGUCCAUUCAGUGUGUGAUGAUAACAAUCGAAUUGGACAGACACAACUAUGCAGAGCGCCGGUGUGUGUUUAAUAAAGUUGUUACUCACCUAGAUGAGAAGUUAACCCUCUUGGGUGUCGAAUCAAAAGCUAUGGUUGCCACAAACAUAAAUCCAAAACUAGCAGGAUAUAAUCUGCUUUAUUUAUAUUUGGUCUUCAAACUUGACAACACCACAACAGUUUACAUGCUUGCCCAAUCUCUUAUUUCAGGUUGGUUAUUCUUUAAUGCAACCUUUGAAACCCAUUACUAUGUAGACCAUGAAGUCUUAGCCAGCCAAUGUUUUCUAAAAGAGUUCUGUGGAGCGAAGAGAGACUAUUUAUCAACUCCUUCCAAGUAUGGUGGGGUUAAGAAAAUUGAGAAUGUUACAUUGGCUGAGCUGAAUAUGUAUGUUCUCAAUUCACGACCAACAGCCGUUUUUCCCAUAGGCGACAGAAUUUCUAUGCAAGGAGGAAGUCACUGACAUUUAGACCUUAAAAGGAUUGUGUUACAUUUCAUGAUCCAAGUUUCACGUAAAUUGCUAUGUGCGUUCACAACUUUCAGCUGCACAGGGUGCAACGAUGAGAAUGCAGUUGGUAUUAUAAGGUAAUAGAGGACCUACAUUUAGUUAUCGUAUAUGCAAGAUGGCGGUAACGGACUUGACAGAAGCAGCUGUAUUGAUAGCAUUCUAUGGGUCAAUUACCAAGCUUACCAAUGUUCAUGCUACUGAGUUCGCGCAGCUAAUGGGCAGGUCUUGAAGUUAAACAGCAGACCGACCUCCCACAAUGCCUGAAAGAUAUAGUUGGCUAGACCUUAACUUUCCAAAUGAAACUCUCUCGGUUCAAUUUCACCACCAAGCAUUAGUCAUUCAUGGUCUCCAGUAUUUGCGAAAGCCACCAGCUUCUACCAGUAGCUAAUUUUGCAAUCAAUGCUGGUGCUGAGUCUGCUGACCACCCACGGGAUGACAAGCAUGUUGCUGUAAAGCUCUCAGUGGAGUAAUCCUGUAGUCAAAACCGAUGCUGCAGAAGAGAUAAUUAGGAGUGACAGUGCUCCUAAUAUCACCGGGGUUAAUGAAGGCUCGGAACCAGUUACUUCCCAAACUGAGUCAGUUGAUAGCUCGAGAGAGGAACCUAUAGGCGAUGAGUAGGAUCCGAGUUCUAAGAAGCCAUGCACUGACUAAGGUGUGAAAGUCUAGAUAUUAUAAGCCGUCAAAAUACUAUGAGUUUGAUGUUAGUGUUUAAUAUUGUAGCGCUCCUUCAACAACUUCAACCAGUCAUGUUUUUCCCUGCUUUCA